UAAGGAAUAUUGGACAAUGGACGCAAGUCUGAUCCAGCCAUGCCGCGUGAAGGAUGACUGCCCUCUGGGUUGUAAACUUCUUUUAUAGGGGAAGAAAGUUAUUUUUUAGGAUAUUUGACGGUACCCUAUGAAUAAGCACCGGCUAACUCCGUGCCAGCAGCCGCGGUAAUACGGAGGGUGCAAGCGUUAUCCGGAUUCACUGGGUUUAAAGGGUGCGUAGGCGGGUAUGUAAGUCAGUGGUGAAAUACCGGAGCUUAACUUCGGAACUGCCAUUGAUACUAUAUAUCUUGAAUAUUGUGGAGGUAAGCGGAAUAUGUCAUGUAGCGGUGAAAUGCUUAGAGACGACAUAGAACACCGAUUGCGAAGGCAGCUUGCUACGCAAAUAUUGACGCUGAGGCACGAAAGCGUGGGGAUCAAACAGGAUUAGAUACCCUGGUAGUCCACGCCCUAAACGAUGAUUACUCGACAUUAGCGAUACACAGUUAGUGUCUGAGCGAAAGCAUUAAGUAAUCCACCUGGGAAGUACGACCGCAAGGUUGAAACUCAAAUGAAUUGACGGGGUCAUAGCUGUUUCCU
rnacentral:rRNA from 1 species